rnacentral:misc_RNA from 1 species
GAUGAAGAACGUAGCGAAAUGCGAUACGUAAUGUGAAUUGCAGAAUUCAGUGAAUCAUCGAGUCUUUGAACGCACAUUGCGCCCUUUGGUAUUCCGAAGGGCAUGCCUGUUCGAGCGUCAUUAUCACCCCUCAAGCCCUCGGCUUGGUGUUGGACGGUUUGGUGGAGGCCCCCUCGGGGGCUCCUGCCCCUCCCAAAGACAAUGACGGCGGCCUCGUUGGACCCCCGGUACACUGAGUUCUUCACGGGACACGUAUCGGACACAUGGGUUUACGGGACACGGUCUGCCUCCCCUCAGGGAGAAUCUUUCUAAGGUUGACCUCGGAUCAGGUAGGGAUACCCGCUGAACUUAAGCAUAUCAAUAAGCGGAGGA